CCGACAAUCACCACCCUCACAACCAAGCUUGAAAAGUCCAGACCGUCACUCAGAUUUUGCAAGCCACUUGUUGAUGCUCUUCUUGAAGGUUUGAGGAAGCGGUUUGAGAGCAUGAUGUCAGAGCCAGAGCUAAUUGCAGCAGCCAUACUUGUUCCAAGGUUCAAAACCUCCUGGACCAGCAAUGACACAGUCCUACAGCUUGGCCUUAGUUACAUCAAGACGCAUCUGCCAGAACAUGAUGAAGGUCUUCGGUCUCCUGAUACCACAGCAUCCUCUUCUGAAGAUGAUGACUUCUUCUCCAAUGUCAAGCCGACACAUUCCAAUGAGAUAAGUCAGCAACUUGAUGGAUACCUAGCCGCUACAGCUGAUGGAGUGAAUACACUGGCCCCCUAUCCAGCUGUGCGUAACCUCUCACUAAAGCUCAACACAGCCCUGCCAGCUUCAGCAGCGUGUGAAAGGCUUUUUAGCAUUGCUUUUUUUUUGCUUUUCACCCCAAGAAGGGGAUCAAUUCAUUCACGGAAUUUUGAGAACCAACUUCUCCUCAAGUUGAACAAGGAGUUCAUGAAAUUUGAUUGAACUGAAGUACAGUACACACACACACACACACACACACACACACACACACACACACACACACACACACACACACACACACACACACACACACACACACACACACACACACACACACACACACACAAACACACAAAA